AUGAACGCUGGCGGCGUGCCUAAUACAUGCAAGUCGAGCGAACGGACGAGAAGCUUGCUUCUCUGAUGUUAGCGGCGGACGGGUGAGUAACACGUGGAUAACCUACCUAUAAGACUGGGAUAACUUCGGGAAACCGUAGCUAAUACCGGAUAAUAUUUUGAACCGCAUGGUUCAAAAGUGAAAGACGGUCUUGCUGUCACUUAUAGAUGGAUCCGCGCUGCAUUAGCUAGUUGGUAAGGUAACAGCUUACCAAGGCAACGAUGCAUAGCCGACCUGAGAGGGUGAUCGGCCACACUGGAACUGAGACACGGUCCAGACUCCUACGGGAGGCAGCAGUAGGGAAUCUUCCGCAAUGGGCGAAAGCCUGACGGAGCAACGCCGCGUGAGUGAUGAAGGUCUUCGGAUCGUAAAACUCUGUUAUUAGGGAAGAACAUAUGUGUAAGUAACUGUGCACAUCUUGACGGUACCUAAUCAGAAAGCCACGGCUAACUACGUG
rnacentral:rRNA from 1 species